rnacentral:lncRNA from 1 species
CACAAUUAGACAAGUACAAUUCUACUUUCUAACAUCCACACAAUUCAUUAAUUCAGCAGGACUUUGUUGACCAUACAUUAUGAGGGAAAUAUUUAAUACUAUUUGGAGACUGAUAUAUUUUCCUCUUAUCUAGAGUAAAAUAAAUUAUAAGAAGUGAUGAAAACAACCAUUUAAUUAGACUUAAGUAAGUUUGAAAAGCAACUCUGUGAAUUUAAGUGUUUUUAAUAAUUUCAUAGGUGUCUCAUUCUAUAAACUCAAUGGCUAUUGAGUUAAUCUUCAAGUUAUUUUCCUACGGGCCCUUUUAAGAGAAGGUUGGAAAGAAUGAACCAUGUUUACCAGAGAUGUUUCCCAAGAUGGACAACAGACUGACCAUGUUGAUUCAGAACUAAGUACUAAUAAAAAGGAGUUUAAUAAGAAGUCUAAUAGAAAUCAAAUUGUAUUUAUCAACUUUAAUUCUAUUUUAAUGCACGAGUCCUAACAGCCAAACGACUAAUAUGCUGACAUUUCUUAAUUCAUUUUUUCUGACUGUGCUCCCAAAAGGUGUGUGAAAAUGCAGUUUAUAAAUUAA